GUGGUAUUUCUGGAUCCUUACCAAGGCAGUGAUGGUAUAUGCCUUCUCUCAAAAAGUAUGUAGUAUUUGUGGUAUAAGGCAUAGUGACAUUGCCUUCUCUCUCACCCUACUCUAAUAAGGCUUUAAUAUCUGGAGCUCAUAGGUGGGAGAUAAAGUAUACAUACUUACAAGACAUUUAUUGUAUAGUCAAACCAUGGAUCCAAAGAAACAAAUCAAUAAGUCAAAUCAAGAUGUGCAUGUGUGGCGAAUGAAUGGUGUAUGGUGAUGAUGGUGAUAACAAUGGUGAAAGUCUAAUUCUACUUUUGCUCUUUGAGGGGAUACAUACCUUUCUUGCUUUUUGAAACUUUGUGAGGAGAAUGAGAUGCUCUAUAUUUCAUUUUCUCUCAGGUGGGUAUCUUGUACCCCUAAUUCUACUGUCGGACACUUAUCCAUUUUUACCUCUCAUCUCACUUUUUCUUUUCUUUCGAGGUU
rnacentral:lncRNA from 1 species